rnacentral:rRNA from 1 species
CACGUAGGGGGCGAGCGUUGUCCGGAAUCAUUGGGCGUAAAGAGCUCGUAGGCGGCUCGGUAAGUCGGGUGUGAAACCCCCAGGCUCAACCUGGGGACGCCACCCGAUACUGCUGUGGCUAGAGUCCAGUAGGGGAGUGUGGAAUUCCCGGUGUAGCGGUGAAAUGCGCAGAUAUCGGGAGGAACACCAGCGGCGAAGGCGGCACUCUGGGCUGGAACUGACGCUGAGGAGCGAAAGCGUGGGUAGCAACAGGA